UACAACAUAACAUUAAUGCACCAAAUCCCAUUAGAAAUCCACAGUUAAGAACGCAUGCUCACGCUAAAGUAGUACUGGGAUGGGUGACCGCUUGGGAAGUCCUAGUGUUUUAC
rnacentral:rRNA from 1 species